rnacentral:rRNA from 1 species
UACGGAGGAUCCGAGCGUUAUCCGGAUUUACUGGGUUUAAAGGGAGCGUAGGCGGAUUGGUAAGUCAGUGGUGAAAUCUUUGGGCUUAACCCAGAAACUGCCAUUGAUACUGCUGAUCUAGAGUACAGUUGCCGUUGGCGGAAUAUGACAUGUAGUGGUGAAAUACUUAGAUAUGUCAUAGAACACCGAUUGCGAAGGCAGCUAACGAAGCUGUAACUGACGCUGAGGCUCGAAAGUGCGGGGAUCAAACAGG